rnacentral:rRNA from 1 species
GAUGAACGCUAGCGACAGGCUUAACACAUGCAAGUCGAGGGGCAGCACGAUGUAGCAAUACAUUGGUGGCGACCGGCGCACGGGUGAGUAACGCGUAUGCAACCUACCUAUCAGAGGGGAAUAACCCGGCGAAAGUCGGACUAAUACCGCAUAAAACAGGGGUUCCACAUGGAAAUAUUUGUUAAAGAAUUAUCGCUGAUAGAUGGGCAUGCGUUCCAUUAGAUAGUUGGUGAGGUAACGGCUCACCAAGUCCACGAUGGAUAGGGGUUCUGAGAGGAAGGUCCCCCACACUGGUACUGAGACACGGACCAGACUCCUACGGGAGGCAGCAGUGAGGAAUAUUGGUCAAUGGGCGAGAGCCUGAACCAGCCAAGUCGCGUGAAGGAUGAAGGAUCUAUGGUUUGUAAACUUCUUUUAUAUGGGAAUAAAGUGAGGAACGUGUUCCUUUUUGUAUGUACCAUAUGAAUAAGCAUCGGCUAACUCCGUGCCAGCAGCCGCGGUAAUACGGAGGAUGCGAGCGUUAUCCGGAUUUAUUGGGUUUAAAGGGUGCGUAGGUGGCUAAUUAAGUCAGCGGUGAAAGUUUGUGGCUCAACCAUAAAAUUGCCGUUGAAACUGGUUAGCUUGAGUAUAUUUGAGGUAGGCGGAAUGCGUGGUGUAGCGGUGAAAUGCAUAGAUAUCACGCAGAACUCCGAUUGCGAAGGCAGCUUACUAAACUAUAACUGACACUGAAGCACGAAAGCGUGGGGAUCAAACAGGAUUAGAUACCCUGGUAGUCCACGCAGUAAACGAUGAUUACUAGCUGUUUGCGAUACACAGUAAGCGGCUCAGCGAAAGCGUUAAGUAAUCCACCUGGGGAGUACGCCGGCAACGGUGAAACUCAAAGGAAAAGACGGGGGCCCGCACAAGCGGAGGAACAUGUGGUUUAAUUCGAUGAUACGCGAGGAACCUUACCCGGGUUUGAACGCAUUCGGACCGGAGUGGAAACACUUCUUCUAGUAAUAGCCGUUUGCGAGGUGCUGCAUGGUUGUCGUCAGCUCGUGCCGUGAGGUGUCGGCUUAAGUGCCAUAACGAGCGCAACCCUUAUCACUAGUUACUAACAGGUCAUGCUGAGGACUCUAGUGAGACUGCCAGCGUAAGCUGUGAGGAAGGUGGGGAGGACGUCAAAUCAGCACGGCCCUUACAUCCGGGGCGACACACGUGUUACAAUGGUGGGGACAAAGGGCAGCUACCGUGUGAGCGGAUGCAAAUCUCCAAACCCCAUCUCAGUUCGGAUCGAAGUCUGCAACCCGACUUCGUGAAGCUGGAUUCGCUAGUAAUCGCGCAUCAGCCAUGGCGCGGUGAAUAAGAUCCCGGGCCUUGCACU